GAUGAACGCUGGCGGCGUGCCUAAUACAUGCCAGUCGAGCGAACAGAUGAGGAGCUUGCUCCUCUGACGUUAGCGGCGGACGGGUGAGUAACACGUGGAUAACCUACCUAUAAGACUGGGAUAACUUCGGGAAACCGGAGCUAAUACCGGAUAAUAUAUUGAACCGCAUGGUUCAAUAGUGAAAGACGGUUUUGCUGUCACUUAUAGAUGGAUCCGCGCCGCAUUAGCUAGUUGGUAAGGUAACGGCUUACCAAGGCGACGAUGCGUAGCCGACCUGAGAGGGUGAUCGGCCACACUGGAACUGAGACACGGUCCAGACUCCUACGGGAGGCAGCAGUAGGGAAUCUUCCGCAAUGGGCGAAAGCCUGACGGAGCAACGCCGCGUGAGUGAUGAAGGUCUUCGGAUCGUAAAACUCUGUUAUUAGGGAAGAACAGAUGUGUAAGUAACUAUGCACGUCUUGACGGUACCUAAUCAGAAAGCCACGGCUAACUACGUG
rnacentral:rRNA from 1 species